rnacentral:rRNA from 1 species
GACGAACGCUGGCGGCGUGCUUAACACAUGCAAGUCGAACGGAAAGGCCCUGCUUUUGUGGGGUGCUCGAGUGGCGAACGGGUGAGUAACACGUGAGUAACCUGCCCUUGACUUUGGGAUAACUUCAGGAAACUGGGGCUAAUACCGGAUAGGAGCUCCUGCUGCAUGGUGGGGGUUGGAAAGUUUCGGCGGUUGGGGAUGGACUCGCGGCUUAUCAGCUUGUUGGUGGGGUAGUGGCUUACCAAGGCUUUGACGGGUAGCCGGCCUGAGAGGGUGACCGGCCACAUUGGGACUGAGAUACGGCCCAGACUCCUACGGGAGGCAGCAGUGGGGAAUAUUGCCCAAUGGGCAGAAGCCUGAUGCAGCAACGCCGCGUGCGGGAUGACGGCCUUCGGGUUGUAAACCGCUUUCGCCUGUGACGAAGCGUGAGUGACGGUAAUGGGUAAAGAAGCACCGGCUAACUACGUG